UAUACAUGCAGUCGAGCGGACAGAUGGGAGCUUGCUCCCUGAUGUUAGCGGCGGACGGGUGAGUAACACGUGGGUAACCUGCCUGUAAGACUGGGAUAACUCCGGGAAACCGGGGCUAAUACCGGAUGGUUGUCUGAACCGCAUGGUUCAGACAUAAAAGGUGGCUUCGGCUACCACUUACAGAUGGACCCGCGGCGCAUUAGCUAGUUGGUGAGGUAACGGCUCACCAAGGCGACGAUGCGUAGCCGACCUGAGAGGGUGAUCGGCCACACUGGGACUGAGACACGGCCCAGACUCCUACGGGAGGCAGCAGUAGGGAAUCUUCCGCAAUGGACGAAAGUCUGACGGAGCAACGCCGCGUGAGUGAUGAAGGUUUUCGGAUCGUAAAGCUCUGUUGUUAGGGAAGAACAAGUGCCGUUCAAAUAGGGCGGCACCUUGACGGUACCUAACCAGAAAGCCACGGCUAACUACGUGCCAGCAGCCGCGGUAAUACGUAGGUGGCAAGCGUUGUCCGGAAUUAUUGGGCGUAAAGGGCUCGCAGGCGGUUUCUUAAGUCUGAUGUGAAAGCCCCCGGCUCAACCGGGGAGGGUCAUUGGAAACUGGGGAACUUGAGUGCAGAAGAGGAGAGUGGAAUUCCACGUGUAGCGGUGAAAUGCGUAGAGAUGUGGAGGAACACCAGUGGCGAAGGCGACUCUCUGGUCUGUAACUGACGCUGAGGAGCGAAAGCGU
rnacentral:rRNA from 1 species